GGAGCCGCCAUGGCGCGGCGCGGCAAGAUGAGCGGUCCGGCUUCCUCCUCAAGUUGGACUUCAGCUCGCUGGAGUGAGCAGCGCACCGCUGACAUCAGCCUCGGCUACGAGAAGCCGAAGGGGUCGAUGCUAUUCUGGAGCGCUGCCUUAUCAAAGAUGUUCACUGUACAAUCGUCUUCGUUUAAAAGAUAGCAGAUCGGAUGUGGCGCUGAGGGACACAGUGGGCAUGGUGGUGAUGGGCUGCCAGCUGGACUAGAUGAUCUCGGAGGUCUUUUCCAACCUUAAUCAUUCCACGACCCUAUGAUUCUGUUAUUUGUUCUUUGUCUGCUCUGGGUGAUAUUACAGAAGGCGACACUACUCUGAUUUUUUUCUUUUUGGUGAGAUAAAUUAUAAGGAAUAACCUCAUGCAUCGGUACGGGUUAGGGGCUGAUCUGCUGGAAAGGAGCUCUGUGGAAAAGGGCUUGGAGGUCCCAGUGGACGACAGGUUGGCCAUGAGCCAGCAGUGUGCCCUGGUGGCCAAGAAGGCCAAUGGGAUCCUGGGGUGCAUUAAAAGGAAUGCGGCCAGCAGGUCGAGGGAGGUGAUUCUGCCCCUCUACUCUGCCUUUGUGAGGCCUCAUCUGGAGUAAUGUGUCCAGCUCUGGGCUCCCCAGUUCCAGAAAGACAGGGACAUAGAGGAAGUCCAGCAGAGGGUGACAAAGAUGGUUAAGGGCCUGGGGCAUCUCUCUUAUGAGGAAAGGGUGAGUAACCUGGGUCUGUUCAGCCUGGGGAAGACAGAGGAGGAGUCUGAUUAAUAUUUAUAAAUAUCUAAAGGGAGAUGGGAGGCAAACGGAUGAGGCCAGGCUCUUCUCAGUGGUGUGUAGCAAUAGGAUAAAGAGCAAAGGCAUAACACUUGAACACAGGAUGUUCCAUACUGAUAUGUAGAAGAUCUUCCUUAUGGUAAGGGUGGCAGAGCACUGGAGCAGGUUGCCCAGAGAGAUUGUAGAGUCUCCUUCUAUGGAGAUAUUCAAGACCCAUCUGGACACCUACCUGUGUGACCUAUUGUAGGGAACCUGCUUCAGCAGGGGAGUUGGACUUGAUUAUCUCUUGAGGUCUUGCAAUUCUGUGAUUCUGUGAUAAGUACCUUCAACAAAUUCACUAUUUGCCUCAGAAUAAUCCCAUACAUAAAUGGCAGAAGAUAAAAGCAGUCUUUCCCAUUUCCUAUGGGUCUUCAUGGCUGUGUUCACGUUGCAACAUGGGGAUUCUGCUUAAGGAUACGCAAUGUCCUUCAGAUGAGACACAGUGCAAUGCCAUAGGUUUGGGUUUUAUUUAUCUUGAGAGCAUUUUGCAGAAAGAAAAAAACAUAUCGAUUUAUAGACCUCUACACAUUGGCAUAACAGACACCAUAAAUGCGUGCAAGUCCUACAGGUACAUUUUGGAUAAUUUAGGGGAAAACAGCUUUCCCUAAGUGAAUAUUUCACUCAUAGUAUUUCAUUGGUUUUGAAGGAAAACGAUGGCAUAAUCAUCUCUGAAAUGUAUCUGGAUACAGAAAAAUGUGUGUUUUGGGACCCUUAAGUAACAAGGCAAAUGCAAUAAGAAAGAACGCAGCCAAUGUUUACUUUACUCUGAUUUUUCUUUUUCUUUUUAAUUUAAUGAUGCUGCCAAAUAAUGCAUUUGGCAAGACCUGCUUCAAAUCUUUGCCUUUUACACCGUGGUUUAUUUACAAAUACUUUUUAGCAGGUUUUUUUACCACAUAGAUUCGUGGCUUGACUCCUGUAUUUUGAAAACACCCCCGAUUUUUUAUCUGUUCUACUUUCGCUCCCAGCAAUCAUUUACAUAAUUCUUUACUUUUUUUUACCCUUAAACACCACUUAACAUUAUUAUUUCCACUCCAGCUACAUGGGCUACAUUGAAAAUUCCAGCCAGAGCAGGAAGGGUUUGCCAGAUCAGAGACAGGUUCUAAGUUGUAGUGAUACUCUGUUAGUUUAUAUAUAUAUAUGGUGUUGGGUUUUUUCACAGACAAGCCGCAGAUGAUCAUUUCACUGUCUGCUCUCAACAGAUCAAGGAUAGCGUGUUGCUGUAGAGGACUGAAUUGGAAAGUUACCAUUUCUUCCUUGAUCCCCUCUUUGGCUUCAGGAAGAACUCGUCUAGAGGUCACUCAUGGAUCAACAUCUUGUGUCAGUUGAGACACCUUACACCACCUGGGACAACUGCUUAAAGCUGGCAGUUAGGAUGUGGGACCUGCGGAAAAACCACAGCAGAUGGAGUCCAGAGCAUGUCAAAUAACACUAGAAAGGUCACGUUCUUGUUCAGCAGUCUCAUCAAGCUGUCUUGGACAUCCACAGAAUGGCAAAUCAUGCUUUGAAGCAAUCUCUUGUUGUCAAAACUCAGGGAACACUUUUUAAUACAUCAAAACCUCUCAUAAGGUACAACUUAAUUGCCUUUUAGAAUUGUGACUAAUUUUUUUCCCCUCAAAACUCAGAUGCUUUUAUUUCCUAUAACGUUACUCAUACAAUGAAAAGGAAAAUAUGUCAGAUUGCUCAUCACACAUCCACUCUGUUAUCUUUUCUUGUUAGGCAUUUGGAUGAUGAAAAACGACUGUGAAACGCUUUGUUGAAAAGAAAGGUUUUUUUUUUCCUUGUGAAAGAAAUGACAAAGAUAGAAGUGGCACCGGCGUCAUCCUGUGUAGCUCACCAUGACCGCGGUUUGACAGCCAGCCUACGACAAACACGCCAAUUAGCUGGUAUGGGAGAGGAGAUCAGCAUGGGGCUUGGAAUACAAAGGAUAUUUAAAUUGCAGCCAGGGGUAAGCCUGAUAGAAAGACAGUCCCAUAGAUACAAAUGGACUUGACGGCAAAAAUAAUUCGUCCUAUGUGUCAACAGUUUUAUUUGAAGCAUACAAUGAAAAAUACUGACAUGCUGUUUUAUUCCACUUAACAACUGCUGCACCACAAAUUUUAAUUUUUAAGUAGUAACAUUCUCACAUUACAUGUAUAGAUUUUUCUGUUGAAAUAUGUUCCCACGUGUUAUCACAGUUCAUCCUUACAGUGUAUAAUUAGAAAACCUAUUUGUAUAGCAGUAUGUCUAACACUUACAAGCCAGGGAAAUGCUUUACACAAAUAAAUUAUCUUUUUAACUUGUUGACAACAAAACUGCCAAGGCAGCAGCCAGAGUAACACCCAGUGUAUCUCAAUGGGUGUGCGCCCAUUCUUACCAACCGAUAUUUAUGAUGCAUUCCUUCUAAGUUUACUGUCUAUAUUUUUACUGAAAAUUUAAUUUCCAUUGAGAAACCAAUGAACGUACUAGUAUUUUGCAUGGCAAACCUCAUCUGAUGUUAUCUGAAUCUCUCACUCAGACUAUACAGAAUCGCAUGUAUUUUCCUUUGCCUUUUAGGGAACUACUGGGAAUAGAGCUCUUAGCAGUGCCACAUUUUAAAAACGAGUACCUGUGACUCAUUGUUCACCUUUUUUUUCCCAGCAGGCAUUCCAGAAUAUGACCUUUUCUUUACCACAGCCACCAGCAAAGAGAUUUUUUUAAAAUUAGAUUCACAGAUGAGCUUUUAUGAACUGUAUGUAUCUGUGCACAAUAAGCAUCUGCUUUGGUUGCUUGUGAGGGAAUCACUCAGCAAUGGACAAAAAAGUAGAAAAUAAAAAGGGAUGAGAUUCUCCUCCUGCAUGGAGGAAUCAGAGUACAAAUCUGUUCAUGAAAAUAUUUUUGAUUACUUGCAUAAAGCAGAUCUUUGGCAAAAGGAUGAGAAGAUUCAUUGCAAAAAUGUCAGGAGACUGUUGAAGGACUAUUGGCUUCAGCUGCAUUCUCCAGGCAGGUAGAUUCAGAGCUCCAAAAAUAUUUCCUGGCUUGGGUAAGCCCAGGUUACAGUGAGUUGAAAAUUCUAUUCAACUGAGAAUGGAAAUUAGAGUCAAUAGAAAACUGAGACUUGGCUUUCAUAAGAAACGUUGGCCAAUUUCAGUUAUGUAACACAAAGGCUGCUUAUGGAAAGGUGUGUGUUGAAGCACAUAUUUCCUUCCAGCAUGUAUUCCUCAAACAUCCUUGAGAAAUGGCAUCAAAAUCUUAAUCUCCUGACUGUGCUAAGGGGCUCCAUCUUCUGCUUUCCAAUGUCUGGAUCUUCUCGCAUCUCCAGUCCUGUGUGUUGCACAGAAAACCUCAAAGCCUACACAGGAUUUCACUGGGGAAAUAUAGUCUGUAAAAAUUUCAUUUGUAUGUACGGUAAAUGUAGGUAUUUGAAAGGUAAUACUGAACACUGAUCUGAUACCUCCAUGUUGGCCUUUAAUAUAUAUUCAUUAUUAUGUACUCAUGCAUUUAGUUCUUGUAAUUUACUUUUCCAAACAUUAGAGCAUGAGAAUAUACAUAAUACAUAUAUAUGUAUAUAAGAGAGGCCCCACUGUAUUCAAAAUGGGAUACGUGCUCAUACAACUGUAUUUAUGACUGCUGGUUUUGCAGCUAGAAACUCAUUUUUGUUACUAGGGAAAAAGUCCCCCUAAACCCAUCAUGGGUUUUGAAAGAGUUAAAGCUGUAGGAUCAGUGAAUCUAGGCUUAAGGAUAAUGUAAAGGAUGGCCAUCAGUCAUUUAAUUAAUCACGUACUUUUUCCUGCAAGAACUGCCAUUUAAAAAGCUCAACACACAACACUUUUUAACACCUUGUAGUUUUGGUUGAUGCUAAUUUUGACUACUCCCCUCUCUGAUCAGCUAGAAGUUGGCACCUAAGCUUAGUGGACUCUUGACUCAUCCAUAGAUGAUCUUACAGGUUAACUUCAGGAAUGGUCACGGUCUCAUCGUGGUUAAGAACUAUGCACAAAAUCUCCCUUUCAGCACCACUUUCCAACAGUAAGCUCCUCACUCACAACCUUACAACACACUCUCCCAUGCAUCUAUACAAACACUAUUAAACAAGAAAACUAAAUGUUAUCAAAUUGUUUAACUCACAGACUGAAGAGAGAUCAUUUUCAGAUUUCAAUUCCUUGGAAUCAUGGAUGUUGUAGACUAUAUAUGCAUGGGCAUAAGGAACUUUGAAGACAACAUUAUUAUUUCUUUCAAUAUUACUAUAGCGUUAAAGACCCUUGUAGCAUUUUAGCAACCCGUGUCUAAUAUGGUUGGAAGUUCUACUGUACUUAAUAUCAUUGCAUACAGUACUUCCUAAACUGCUUUUAACAUUUUCUUUCUGGGAUACACAAUAAUUCAAGUUCAACUGAGGUUUUCUUAUUAAAUAUUUGGAGAUUGAAAAUAUGGUACUGAACAAUGAGAAAACACCGUCCCAUAACACAUAACAUACAAACCACUUUUUGCAGUUCUAACAAAAUGAGAUCAUACAUAAAAAUGUCACAAUUAGCUCAGUACAUUGGUAUGAUCACAAAAAUAUUAAGUUCAGCUGAUAUUGUCACAUAUUAAGGGCCAAAUCCUGGCUCAAUGUGCAGUUGAAACCUAAACAGAUGUUUACAGAAAGUAAUGAAAAUACAAAGCCACUCUGAAGUGCCAUAAUGAUAACAAUGCCUUUUAUUGAUCUACCUAAGAUUUUUUGCCUAUAGUGUGUACCUAGUUUGUGCAAUGGAAGAAACACAUGGCCAGCGGUGCUUGACUCCUGUCCUAGGACACUUCCUUAUAGACUUUCUGUGGCCAAGGGCGGUGAGGGCUGAGAGGUCAAUCUUCCCUCUGGGUAUGAUAGUUUUGCAGGCAUCCAUACGUAUUGUUCUGCCAGAAUUUGGCCAAGAGUUUUAAAUCCUCUACAUCUUAUUCAGUAGUCCCAGUGAAGUCAGUGGAACUUUUUUUUUUGUGUGAGUAAGAUGAAAAGGAUUUGGCCCCCAGUGUUUUUAACCCUUUAAGUAGUACGAGAGUAGUUUCAUUGCACUUAGCCCAUCAUUCACAAAUAAAUUUAUAUCCAAAAACAGAAGAUUGGUAUUGAAGUAUAGAAAGUGUUGGUUCGCGAAGGAGGAAAGCAUGCAGCAACAUCUGACUACUAGUAUCAUGUGGGACCUGAAUUCCUAAAGGGAAAAAAGAGAUGCUUAUAUGACAGAAUUUUAUCCCAUAUUUAUCUGAGGCCAAAAGAUUAUUUAUUCAAUUCUUAAAUACCUUCUCAGUGGGUACCCUGGAAGCACUAAAUAACUAGCAUAUAUACACAGAUAUAAGUGAAUUUGUUUCUUCCUUGAUCUGGAUGGAUAAGCAACUACAGUUAUAGCGUAAUUUGGCAAAAACUAUUGGAGCAGAAGGAUUUUUCAAAUAGCAUCUUAAAUAUUUUCAUAUGGAAAACAUGAUCAUGACUUUGAGAAAGGAGAAAUGUUGCUCUCACCCAUGAGAAUGUUUUUGACUGGAGAGGGCAGGAACAGUGUUUUUGUAUUUAAAACACAGAAACCCUACUCUGUUACACAAUUCCAUCUUUUGUUCUGUGACUGGGUAUGAAUUGCUACUCAUUUGGAUUAGACAAGGUAAAGGAUAACUAUAUGCAAAUCAAAUUAACCAAAACAAACUGACUGGCACUCUGAUUACAGGUCACUGAGAUGCAGUGUAUUCUAAUAGCAAGCAGUACUCAGAUGCUGAAUUUGGGAUUUAAAUUUAAAUUAAAAGUCAGGAUGCAGAUGUGAAUUCCGAGUUAGAACUGGAAAAUAGGACCAAAUACCAUUCAGUGUAAUCACAAAGGACAGCGUGAAUUACUUCAUCUCUAAUAAAAACUGUGUCAUGCUCAGUAAGGAGUUGUAACAAAGCUACAAAGCACUGAGUAGGAGAGUCCUUUAAAUGCUUGUCUCAGCAAAGUCUGUACAUAGACAAUUUUACAGCAUUUCUCUUUUGCAAAUGAGAUAAAUUACCAUAUCUGUUAAGGGAAUUGUUACCCUUUUGGUUAUAUUAAAUCAUUUUAUUAUCUAGUUUUGCUUCUUUCCUUCUCAAACAGAAGGAUGUAGACAUGUCAUACUGACAGCAGUCCUUCAGAAUCAAAUCCUCUGGGGACUGUGAGCUGCAUAUCCCUUUGACUACAUGAAUAGGAUUAGGUAUCAUACUUAAUUCCUCCACUGACUGCUGAGAUUAGGAAAAAAAAAGAGUUCUUGGAAAUUAAUCUGAGUUAAGCAGAGACUUCACUCACUGGUGAAACUCCACAGGCUUCAACAAGCACAGCAUUAGUCUAGCCCUGGGAGAACGUGACUGAGAGCUCCCCAGAACAUAACCGGGGCUCUAGCAAAGAAUUCAAAAGGAGAUUCUUCAUGGUAUGUCAAGAAAAAUGUUAGUUUGUGUGAUGUUGUGCCUACACCUGGUAAGAAAAGUGUUAAGAUCUCUCUUUGUUACUAUUAAGUCUCUUUGAUUUCAUCUAGUUUCCCAUGAUUCAUGCCUUUCCACACAUAUAUCCUAUGCUUAAAAUCAGAUCCUGCAGUCUUCGUUUAAUCUUUGUUCAUCACCUCACAGGGAAUUUUUCUUUUUCAGAACAGUACAGAGUAGGAGAGACGCUCCAUGCACUUUCUCCACCCUGAGAUACCAUUUAGCCCUCGUUGCCUCCUGGCAUGAACUCAGUUUCCAGACUUUGUCCCUGUUGUG